rnacentral:tRNA from 1 species
UCUUCCGUAGUAUAGUGGUCAGUAUGCAAGCUUGUCACAAAACAACACGCUUGAGACCCGGGUUCAAUUCCCGGCGGGAGAG